rnacentral:lncRNA from 1 species
CACGAUGGUUUGCCUACUCGAGGAAUCAUUGACGACACCUCAGGCGAGCGCAGCAGCCACAUGGACUGUGCACCAUCUUCUAGCGAAACUUCGGCAUCAGUGCGCCGUGCUGAAGAACCAGCUGCUGUCUGCGGUGAACCUGUUGCCAAGGGGUACAUCCACAGCCAGUCGUCCCAGUCGCUGCAACUCUUCCAAGAAGGUGAGUGUUAGUUCGAAUAUGUUGGAACAGCCCGAUAUGUAUGGCUCAGAAAUAUGCUACAAUUCCUUGACUCUGCGCUGUG